GUACUAAUGAAGAGUCCCAAAUCAGGCGAACGAAAUAGCUGUCCAGUAC
rnacentral:hammerhead_ribozyme from 1 species